rnacentral:rRNA from 1 species
AUGGCUACCUCUACCAGUAGUGGCUUCCUCUUCAUCACGCUCUUGUGUUUCGCUACACUUCUCCCUUCACCUGUCAACGCGAGGCAUUUCCCUCGUAUCCAUGGCAGUACCAGCGCGAUCCAUGGUACCGGCGUCAAAUUCCACUGGCCGUUCUCAAGGUCAAGGGACGGUUCUGGCAGUGGCCAUGGCCAUGGCUCCGGAGACGGCCACGGAUUUGGCUGGACCGUGUCGCGCAACGGGUCCGACAUGACCAUCGGGGCCGGCGGCGGCAUGGGCGGCGGCGUGGGAAGCACCCGCGAUGGCGAAGGAGGCAACGCUGGUGGCGGUGCCGGCGCCGGGGUCGGCGUUGACGUCGGGAAGGACGGGAUCAACGUGGGCUUUGGCCUCGGCGGAGGGGGCGCGGCGAGCGCGCACAACGGCGGUGCUAGUGUGGGUCUUGGCGGCGGGGCAGGCUUCAGUUUCCACAUCGGCAGAGGAGGUGUCAGUGUCACGGUGACAGAAGGUGGUGGUGGCGGAGGAGGUGACGGCAGCGGUGCAGGUGCUUCAGGCGGAGGCAACGGGGUUGGACGCGCAGGCAAUGCCGUGGGGACCGGCCAGGGUUCCGGGAGCGCGAGCGACGGCAUGGGGAGCGGCUGCGGGAGUGGCUCCGGCUCCGGGCCAGGAGGAUCCGCUGGCGGUGAAGGCGGCGGCGCGGGCGGUAGCAGCGGCCACCCGUGA